GACGAACGCUGGCGGCGUGCUUAACACAUGCAAGUCGAACGGAAAGGCCCCCUUGUGGGGUACUCGAGUGGCGAACGGGUGAGUAACACGUGAGUAACCUACCCUUGACUUUGGGAUAACUUCAGGAAACUGGGGCUAAUACCGGAUAGGAGCUCCUGCUGCAUGGUGGGGGUUGGAAAGUUUCGGCGGUUGGGGAUGGACUCGCGGCUUAUCAGCUUGUUGGUGGGGUAGUGGCUCACCAAGGCUUUGACGGGUAGCCGGCCUGAGAGGGUGACCGGCCACAUUGGGAUUGAGAUACGGCCCAGACUCCUACGGGAGGCAGCAGUGGGGAAUAUUGCACAAUGGGCGGAAGCCUGAUGCAGCAACGCCGCGUGCGGGAUGACGGCCUUCGGGUUGUAAACCGCUUUCGCCUGUGACGAAGCGUGAGUGACGGUAAUGGGUAAAGAAGCACCGGCUAACUACGUG
rnacentral:rRNA from 1 species